rnacentral:rRNA from 1 species
UUUAAAGAAAGCGUAACAGCUCACUGGUCUAAAUAAGGGUUCCUGCGGCGAAAAUGUAACGGGGCUCAAGACGUGCACCGAAGCUUAGGGUGUGUAGCAAUACACGCGGUAGCGGAGCGUUCCGUAGGCUGAUGAAGCGGUCUGGUAAUGGACCGUGGAGGUAUCGGAAGUGCGAAUGCUGACAUGAGUAGCGAUAAAGAGGGUGAGAUGCCCUCUCGCCGAAAUCCCAAGGGUUCCUGCUUAAAGCUAAUCUGAGCAGGGUAAGCCGGCCCCUAAGACGAGCCCGAAGGGGGUAGUCGAUGGGAACCACGUUAAUAUUCGUGGGCCUGGUGGUGUGUGACGGUUUGCGUAAGUUGUCUGUCCUUAUUGGAUUGGUCAGGCUUCGAAGCAGAUCCAGGAAAUAGCCCCACCGUAUAGACCGUACCCUAAACCGACACAGGUGGGAUGGUAGAGUAUACCAAGGCGCUUGAGAGAAGUCUCCUGAAGGAACUCGGCAAAUUGCCUCCGUACCUUCGGAAGAAGGAGGCCCUCAUUGUGCGCAAGCAUUUUGAGGGGGCACAGGCCAGGGGGUAGCGACUGUUUAGCAAAAACACAGGGCUCUGCUAAGUCGGCUUCAAGACGACGUAUAGGGCCUGACGCCUGCCCGGUGCCUGAAGGUUAAAGGGAGAUGUGAAAGCGUCGAACUGAAGCCCAGGUAAACGGCGGCCGUAACGAUAACGGUCCUAAGGUAGCG